GACGAACGCUGGCGGCGUGCUUAACACAUGCAAGUCGAACGGAAAGGCCCUGCUUUUGUGGGGUGCUCGAGUGGCGAACGGGUGAGUAACACGUGAGUAACCUGCCCUUGACUUUGGGAUAACUUCAGGAAACUGGGGCUAAUACCGGAUAGGAGCUCCUGCUGCAUGGUGGGGGUUGGAAAGUUUCGGCGGUUGGGGAUGGACUCGCGGCUUAUCAGCUUGUUGGUGGGGUAGUGGCUUACCAAGGCUUUGACGGGUAGCCGGCCUGAGAGGGUGACCGGCCACAUUGGGACUGAGAUACGGCCCAGACUCCUACGGGAGGCAGCAGUGGGGAAUAUGGCACAAUGGGCGGAAGCCUGAUGCAGCAACGCCGCGUGCGGGAUGACGGCCUUCGGGUUGUAAACCGCUUUCGCCGGUGACGAAGCGUGAGUGACGGUAAUGGGUAAAGAAGCACCGGCUAACUACGUG
rnacentral:rRNA from 1 species